rnacentral:rRNA from 1 species
UACGAAGGGGGCUAGCGUUGCUCGGAAUCACUGGGCGUAAAGGGUGCGUAGGCGGGUCUUAAGUCAGGGGUGAAAUCCUGGAGCUCAACUCCAGAACUGCCUUUGAUACUGAAGAUCUUGAGUUCGGGAGAGGUGAGUGGAACUGCGAGUGUAGAGGUGAAAUUCGUAGAUAUUCGCAAGAACACCAGUGGCGAAGGCGGCUGAC